ensembl:snRNA U6 U6 spliceosomal RNA
GGCCAUUAGAAAUCACGUGCUAAAAUGGUAACAAUCCAGACAAGAUUAGCCCAGCCCUGCGUGAGGAUGAGACGCAAAUUCGAGAGGUGUUCUGUAUUUUU